rnacentral:lncRNA from 1 species
AUAUCCCCAAAGUAAACGCCCAUGUUUUUCACCAUUGUAUUUGCUUAGACUAGAAAAACCACUUUUCAGCUAGCUAGCUAGCUCUUUGUUUCACUUGUUUUUCCCGAUAUCAGUUGCUUCCCUUUUGGUAGAUUCACGUUAAUCAACUUGUCACAUGCAACAAAGUACGUUUAAGUUUCACUUUUACCAAGAUUAAUUGGCUGUGUCUUUUAAUAUAAACCCAAUCAAAACCUCAAGUCCACAAACAGAACAUCAAAAACCCCACCUCCCCACAAGGCACUUAACUUCGAUCAGUUUUGAACAACUCUUUCUUUCCCUGAGAGCUUUCUGCUAAGUCCACACCCAGAAACAACCUGUAUGAGUUUUGAUUAAUGUCAAUAAUGGUAUGACAUUCUUCUUCUCCUUAUUGUUCUUGAACAUUAUUUAGUCUUAAUUCUAUGUGAUGUUUCCGUUGUCUGAAGCAGUGGCGCGGCCACAUAGGCUCAAAGAUAGCCGGUUGAAUAUAUACGUUAAAUACAUCUUUUAUACAUAUAUAUUAUAUCUAGAACAACCUUGAAUGCUCUUAGCGAAAUUUCUAAUUUCGCACUGAUCUGAAGUUGGGGAUUUAGUUUUGAGUUAACUCUUAUAGAGUGAAAGUGCAAAAGAAUUUUAUGCUAAUUAAUUGAUAAUUAUAGAAAACUAUUUAAAAUAAAACAGGAUUAUUAAAAUACAUUGAUAGUGUUUACGUAUAUAAAAUCUUUUAGUGAAGGGGAGCCUUGGAGUGACCGGUAAAAUUACUGUCAUGUAAUCAGGAGGUAACGGGUUCGAGCUGUGGAAACAGUCUCUUACAGAAAUACAGGGUAAGGAUGCGUACGAUAGAAUCUUGUGGUCCGGCCCUUCCCCGGACCCCGCGCAUAGCGGGAGCUUAGUGCACCAGACUGCUUUUUUUUAAAGUUCAAAAUGUUUAUUUGCUUUUAUUUUUAACUAGAAAUUAAAUUGUUGUAUUGCAGUGUGUCACGGCAAUGAUGUUUGGAUCAGUAGCAAGAACAAUGACCGCAUUGAUGGUUCAGCCGGCUUCCACCUUAACAACAUUGUUGUACUACAGUGAUCUCCUCCCUCGGAACCUGAAUUUGGACCGGUUGGUUCGUAGGGACUUGGUUGGUGGUGGAAACUACAUCUUUCAUUUUCUCAUUCAUUUUUUGAGAUGUUUUUGGUAGUCAUUUUCAUUUUCAAUUAACUAAUUUCAUCUCUAACCUCUCUUUUUUUCUUGUCUGUCUUUUUCUUUUUUUUUUGGAGACCUUUAGUUCAGUGUAAGAUGAUUGAAAAUAAAAUUCUCUUGUCUCUCGGAACUCUAUAUAUGACUCAUCUUGGGAUUUUUUUUACAUAAUUAAGAAAUAAAGCAUCUAGCGGAGGGGUGAUUUGUACAAGCGACUAUUGAUUUUUUAAUCUUACUUUUUCCAUGGGCAUAACGACAAGUUCAACAAGUAUUACCUCUCGCUUACCUUACGGGCAACAUUUUGACUUUUAACCUCAAAGGUCUGCAC